AAGAAAAGAAAAAAGAAAAGAAAAGAAAUUUAACAGGAUUUAUUUUUAACACCACAGAGAGGUAAAAUUGUCCAGAUGAGGUAUUUAUGCAUCAAUAAUCAGUAAUCAAGCAGAAAAACCAGCUUUAUCAUCACUUAUUAAAACAUGUAAUUAAAAUAUAUUGCGCAACAUGCCAGUUAUGCCAGUUGUGUUCGUCCUUUUUAAGAGUCAGGGAUGACCAGAAACAAUUAAAUGUUGUUAAGGGGUCAAUGAGGAGUUAAAAAAUGUAAAUAAUAUGCCUGUUAUUUAUGCAUUGAUGCGUCAGCACAUCUACCAUUCUGUCAUUGAUUUUCUGUCAUUAACCUGCUCUCUCCUCUGAUUCAUCCCCAGUGCUGAUUGGUUGCAGAAGGCUCACUUGCAUGCAUCCUGAUAAACUGGCACAUGCCUCGGCUCUCUGUCCCUCGCUGGCAUUAUUCCGUGGCUUUUGGGGUUAGUUUAGUGACAUCAAGACAAGCUCACCUGGAGAUGACGCGACUGAAGCAGAUCUCAGCCUGGACCAGUCGUCCCAGAUUUCUUAAGCACAGACCCUUCAGCAGCUGGACGACACACUCAUCGCCCGUGUGGUACUCUGAUGGGUCUGCACAUCAAACAGUAAACUUUGACAGGAUUCCUUCAGUCAGCUCAGGUCUUUUGCCCACUAUUGUGAAGCCAUUCCACACAUACAUCAUUUCCUGCGGUAACAGAUGAUUGUUGCUUACAAAUGCA